GAGACAGAGUAGCAUACAUGAACGCCUUUGCAGCUGAAGAGCAUGAUUAUCCUACAGCAUCAGUAGGGAAAAUGCCUAACUUAAGAGCAAGCCACUCAGAGAACUGAGCACUCACUGCAGAGAGACAAGGAAGAGCCACAGAGGGGGUUGUGGUGUGUAGGGUGGCAGUCUGCUGGUUUUAAAACUUUUACAAUGGAUUCUGCUGUCAUGACGAUUUUAAACUGAUAUACCGUAAAACUGAUAAACUAUACUGACAUUAAUGGACUUGCUCCUGGUUUAUGCUUGAUUCAGCCCGGGAGUAAGGUUUCUGGGUUUACAAGUGAUCUUGAAAAAGUAAAAAUGAAUAGAGAUCUUGAUACUUUCGGAAAGCCAAUGCUGCACAGUCAGCCCUAGCAUCUUCUGUAAUAACAGGAACAAUACGUUGACACAGAAGGGAUACAGCUGGAAAACAAAAGCAAGAUAGAUACUGUUGGAAACAAGAUACCAAAUAACAGACAAGUAUAGGAGACAAGUCAUGUUGUGGCUGUUGAAUGGCUCUUAUGCACAACUGAUGAAAGUAUCUGUAGGUGACGGUUUUGUGUCUCUCUAUAUAGAUACAUACUGAAUGAUAUUUUAGUUAUAGUAAACAUGUUCUGCUCCCCACCAUAUUAACUGCUUACAGAGGAAAAAUAUGGGAAAGCAAUUUAAUACACAUUACCUGGUAAUAUAGGAAAGACUGAACACUGAUUUUGAGAGAGGGCUUUUCAGAUAUCUUGGAAUCACCGUUAAAUUUCUUCAUUUUUUUAAUGCCAGUGACCAAGUGGCCAAAGAAAUGCUUCCACAACUGCUGUGUGCUGCUGGCUUUUUCUCCACUGAAAAUAGAAGGAACAGAAAGAUAAGAGUAAAACAAAAUGGACAAACAAAACAGACAAUCAACUGUUGGCAUCAGAGAUAGAUCUGAUGAACCUGGUGUGUUUUCUGACAAAAGAUUGGUUGACGAGCUGAAGAAUAACAAAACCUAUACACCUGAGUGGCAUUUUUCAGCUCUGCAAUUUGUUUGUUCUUUUAUUUGCAGUUUUACAAUGUCUGUGAAAAUUAUGGUAACUAGUUCUGAAGACCUGAAUUUCAUGCUUUAUGCUUUCAUGCAUGGAAUUAUCUAUGUUAACAUUGGGUAAAAGGGAAAAUAGAGAAAAAAACAUCACGUGAUUGAUCUGACCAUAAUAUUCUGUUCUGAUUAUCGUAACACAUAUAAGGUAUUUACAGAAGCUCCUUUUAUUAAUUUAGCAGAAAGUAUGAUAUACCUGCUGCUUCUUGUAUUUCAUGUGCAGUGACUGCCAUUCCUUACAAAAGUUGAAGAUCAAAUGGAAAUCUUAACAAAAGUUUGUUCUCAAAAGCCAAAAAUCAGACCUCUGUUAGAAAUUUUCUGAACUACUUGGAAGAAUAAAUAAGUUGGCAUAGAAAACAAAACAUAAUCAAAUAGGAACAAAAGUUUACUUUGAAAAACCUUAAUAAAUUCUUGUAAAUAUUUUGCAGAACUCAGAAAACUGCAAGUGUGGAAGGUGUAUUUCUCUCUCUCUUUUUAUUUAAGGAAUAAAAGUUAGAUUGGCACUUUAAAAAAAUCCAUUAAUUACCACUAUUUAUAUUUUAUAAAUGGAAAAAUAAACACAUAAUGAGAAGAUGAUCAAAUAGCAGAAGUGGAAGCAGCAUCCUUCAUGGGGGAAGACAGUGGCCAUGGAGGAGCAGCAGAGACAAAACAUUAAGGACUGACCACAGCCCCAUCCCCUGUCCCUCCUGCUCAUCUUGGGGGGAGGAGGUUGACGUUUCAGGCAUAAAG
ensembl:lncRNA